UUGCCCACCCGGCCACAGUGAGCGGGCAACACCCGGACUCAUUUCGAACCCGGAAGUUAAGCCGCUCACGUUGGUGGGGCCGUGGAUACCGUGAGGAUCCGCAGCCCCACUAAGCUGGGAUGGGCUUU
rnacentral:rRNA from 2 species